ACUGGCAGAGAGGUUUCUCCACGGGAAGGGCGUCAGGCUUCAAGGGGACAAGAUGCCUUACGACUGCAUGUUAAAGAUGCAGAAAUUAGUUGGCAAAAGGAAGGGACGGAAGUGCGUCCCGGAUGGGAAAAUAUUGCACAAAGGUGUAGCGGGGAGCUUUGAGCUGCAACAGUUUCGGCGGCCCGGCCCGGGAGCGCGCACCGCCGCCGCACGCUUUGGUCCCCGCUAGGGGACGCGGCACUCAGGGCUCGCAGUGGCCCGAGGCUCGCCGUGCAGAGCUGGCGAGACGCCCAGAAAAGGACAAAGACCUGGAGCUCUGCAGGCGCCCAGGACUGAGUUGCGACGACGCCCUGGUGCAGGCUGUGUGGUGCCUCUCUGAAGCGGGACCUCUCCGAGCCUGCAGACUCCCGCAAAGGUUACAUGAGAUGCCUGAGAGCGGGGCUCACCGCCCUCCUAGCCGAGCCCGCGAGGUCCUCCCCACCGAGAGUGGGAGCCCGGGAGGGGGCGCCGCCACCAGCGCGUCCUCCUGGCCCAAGCUCCGGCUGCGCGCUCCAGGCGGUAUAACCACGAAUAAUAAAGCGAACGCUCGGUGGCUCCGCUCCUCCCCGCGGGCUAAUUAGGUCGUGUUUGUAAAGCACUUGGAAGACAAAACGCGCCCCAAGUGUUAAUUAUCCUUAGCCCCAUCCUAACACACUUCCCGAACCAAGCGGGAAACUGGCGUCCCCUUGCCAGUGUGCGGGACGCAGCGGCUGCAGCCAGACCCCUCCUGCCUGUCCAUCCUGCCUGUCCAUCUAGGCCCCUGGGACUCGGAAACAGAGAAGGCCGGACAAGGUCGGGGCGCUAGACACACACCUCAUUGCAGCUGUGUCCUGCCCACUCCAGGUGAGGGCAAGGUGUCUGGCUGAGGAGGCGCGUCUUUUGGAGGAGCAGGAAUCCGCCUACAGCCGAGAGGGAUGAUUUAGGGAGUGUGUAUUUCUAAAUCUUUCAGAGUUAGUCCCUGGCUGACCCCAGAACCGCCACCCUACUGACCAGAGACUCUGUUGCCCAGCCAGGUCUCUGCCCAAGGCCCAUUCCCGAACUGAAGAACCUUGGGGACACAGAUCUGAGCUCAGGGAGUCCCAGGUCAUCGUUCUGGAGAUGUCGGCUUUGUCCUCAGAGUGAGACUGCCCUGAAGUCUAAAACCAGCUCUGAGGGUUCUCUAGUCCCUUCUCCGUCUUUAUGAGGGACAGUGGAUUUGUGGCAGCCUGGCCCUCUAGUGAAGGCUGCUAGAUCAUGCAGCCAGUUGGGGAGCCUAGCCAAACCCCAGGCUCAGCUCCCCACCCCCACCCCAGCGCUGGAGAGACUCAUUUUAGGGCUGCCUUGGCAUACUUACAGCAAUAUUUGGAACUCUUUCCUGUAAAAAACAGUAACAAAUGAUGUCCAAGGCCCUUCGAAUUUACAAACUGUUUUAGGCAUGAUCCGAAUAUGAACAAGCUCAGAAGCUGGAGCACCACGGAGACUGCCAUCACACACACCCCGGGUAGUGGCAGUGCCAGACAGGAGCCCCGGCAUGCUCCCUUCAGACGUGUGCAGCGUCCACCUUCACAGAGGGGCCGCAGUUGCGCUUCUUUACACACAUGUAACUCUUGCACACUCUGUUGCUCACCAAUGCUUUUCCCAAGUCUGAGGCUGAGCACCUUGACAUCCUGCUCAGAAGCAUGUGGGUAACCUCGCAAAAUGGGGCUGGGCCUCACCAACCCCUUUCACCCCUGAAAUUCCUAACCCAGCAUUCCAUAAUGUUCAUUGAUUUCCAGUCAGUGGUAUAGUGGAGAAGCAAGUGGUCUAUGACAAGGAAGGAGAGGGAAGGAGCUAAAUCCAUGCCCUUUCCUGACACACGCGCUUCCUCAGAUUUUCAUGUGCAUAAGAAGUCAUCUGGAAGCUGGGCAUAGUGGCUCACGCCUAUAAUCCCAGCAUUGGGGAGGCUGAGGCAGGAGGAUCACUGUGAGUUCAAGAUCAGCCUGAACUGCAUAGCAAGAUCCUGUCUCAAAAAGACAAAAAACAAUAAAUCAUCUGGAGAAUGUCUGGGAUACUUUUUUAAACACUCCCUUUGUGCACACAGACAUGUGCAUGCACAUGCACACACACACACAAAUUGGAGUGAAGAACAUUCUCCAACCACUCUGAGAGCUAACUUCUACUUACCAGGAACUAAACACUGUACAGAGAGCCCCCACCCUCCACAGGUCAAUCACGUGGAAGUAAAGGGGAGGGAGACACUUGGAGAAGCUGUAGAGACAAGUGAGCCACCAGCCUGUCUGCAGGGCUGGCCGGGGGACAGCACUCUCAUGGCUUCCUCUAAGGACUUCCACAGAGAAGAGCAGUUUGCCAGACCCAAAGUCACCGCUCAUCCCUGGUCCCUGAGUAGGCAGGUGUGCCCCCUGUCAGCAACUUUGGGAAAUAUCACAGGAUUUCCUUAUCCACAGGAGCUCAGGACCUGCACCCCUGGCAAUAUUUUAAUUUCUUUUAAAAUCAGAAAAGAAGAAUGUUUCAGAGAAAAUAAAAUGUUUAAUACAUAAUAUUAA